GACGGAGGGUGCAAGCGUUGCUCGGAAUUACUGGGCGUAAAGGGUGCGUAGGCGGCCUUUCAAGUCCGGCGUGAAAGCCCAGGGCUCAGCCUUGGAAGUGCGCUAGAAACUGAAUGGCUAGAGUAUCGGAUGGGAGAGUGGAAUUCCUGGUGUAGCGGUGAAAUGCGUAGAUAUCAGGAGGAAUACCGGUGGCGAAGGCGACUCUCUGGACGAUAACUGACGCUGAGGCACGAAAGCGUGGGGAGCAAACAGG
rnacentral:rRNA from 1 species